rnacentral:rRNA from 1 species
GAUGAACGCUGGCGGCGUGCCUAAUACAUGCAAGUCGAGCGAACAGAUGAGGAGCUUGCUCCUCUGACGUUAGCGGCGGACGGGUGAGUAACACGUGGAUAACCUACCUAUAAGACUGGGAUAACUUCGGGAAACCGGAGCUAAUACCGGAUAAUAUAUUGAACCGCAUGGAUCAAUAGUGAAAGACGGUUUUGCUGUCACUUAUAGAUGGAUCCGCGCCGCAUUAGCUAGUUGGUAAGGUAACGGCUUACCAAGGCAACGAUGCGUAGCCGACCUGAGAGGGUGAUCGGCCACACUGGAACUGAGACACGGUCCAGACUCCUACGGGAGGCAGCAGUAGGGAAUCUUCCGCAAUGGGCGAAAGCUUGACGGAGCAACGCCGCGUGAGUGAUGAAGGUCUUCGGAUCGUAAAACUCUGUUAUUAGGGAAGAACAAAUGUGUAAGUAACUAUGCACGUCUUGACGGUACCUAAUCAGAAAGCCACGGCUAACUACGUG